UACGAAGGGGGCUAGCGUUGCUCGGAAUUACUGGGCGUAAAGGGAGCGUAGGCGGAUAGUUCAGUCAGAGGUGAAAGCCCAGGGCUCAACCUUGGAAUUGCCUUUGAUACUGGCUGUCUUGAGUAUGGGAGAGGUUAGCAGAACUCCGAGUGUAGAGGUGAAAUUCGUAGAUAUCUGGAGGAACACCGGUGGCGAAGGCGGCAUCCUGGACCGAUACUGACGCUGAGGAGCGAAAGCCAGGGGAGCAAACGGG
rnacentral:rRNA from 1 species